rnacentral:rRNA from 1 species
AACCCUAGUUAAUAAAAUCCGGCGUAAAGAGUGUUAAAAAUAUAGUCAAAAUAAGAUUAAGGCUUAUCUAAGUUGUAAAAAACAACAGAUAAAAAUAAACUCAAUAACGAAAGUAAUCUUAAUAACUCUGUAUACACUAAAGCCAAGGCUCAAACUGGGAUUAGAUACCCCACUAUGCUUAGCCAUAAACAAAGAUAUUUUAUAACAAAAAUUUUCGCCUGAGGACUACUAGCAACAGCUUAAAACUCAAAGGACUUGGCGGUGCUUUAAACCCACCUAGAGGAGCCUGUUCUAUAAUCGAUAAACCCCGAUCAACCUUACCACUUCUAGCUAAGU